rnacentral:rRNA from 1 species
UACGAAGGGGGCUAGCGUUGCUCGGAAUGACUGGGCGUAAAGGGCUCGUAGGCGGUUUGGACAGUCAGAUGUGAAAUUCCUGGGCUCAACCUGGGGGCUGCAUUUGAUACGUUCGGACUAGAGUGGGGAAGAGGGUCGUGGAAUUCCCAGUGUAGAGGUGAAAUUCGUAGAUAUUGGGAAGAACACCGGUGGCGAAGGCGGCGACCUGGUCCUUGACUGACGCUGAGGCGCGAAAGCGUGGGGAGCAAACAGG